AACGCACGAGACCUGCGGACCUGCGGAAGGAUCAUUACCGAGUUAUACAACUCCCAAACCCACUGUGAACCUUACCUCAGUUGCCUCGGCGGGAACGCCCCGGCCGCCUGCCCCCGCGCCGGCGCCGGACCCAGGCGCCCGCCGCAGGGACCCCAAACUCUCUUGCAUUACGCCCAGCGGGCGGAAUUUCUUCUCUGAGUUGCACAAGCAAAAACAAAUGAAUCAAAACUUUUAACAACG
rnacentral:misc_RNA from 1 species